rnacentral:lncRNA from 1 species
UGCCAAGUGGAAUGGUUGAGGCAAUGUCAGAGGGAGGCUGUCAGCCUGAUGGGAGUGGAUGGAGGCAUGAACUGUGAAAAGAACCAGCCGAAGGAGCCUGGUCUUCCAGGAAAGCACAGUUUCAGAUGCUCCUGACUUCUGAGGAUGAUGAGAGCAGUUAAGCAAAGAAAAGAACUUAAGCCAUGGGGUGAUAAGGAAGAAAGAAGAGAAAAAAAUUCAGGAUGUGUAAUGUGUGGCACGGCCCAUGGGUAGAUGUCAUUGUCCUCGGAGAUGUAGAGCAGGAGGGAGAUGAAAGAAAAACAAGUCACAUCCUCUCCUUAAGGAGCUGUGGGUCUCAUGGAAGAGAAGAGCAAGAAAUGAUGCAAAUUUGUAUAAGAGACUAUCAAUAA